rnacentral:rRNA from 1 species
UACCGCAUACGCCCUACGGGGGAAAGCAGGGGAUCGCAAGACCUUGCACUAUUAGAGCGGCCGAUAUCGGAUUAGCUAGUUGGUGGGGUAACGGCUCACCAAGGCGACGAUCCGUAGCUGGUUUGAGAGGACGACCAGCCACACUGGGACUGAGACACGGCCCAGACUCCUACGGGAGGCAGCAGUGGGGAAUUUUGGACAAUGGGGGAAACCCUGAUCCAGCCAUCCCGCGUGUGCGAUGAAGGCCUUCGGGUUGUAAAGCACUUUUGGCAGGAAAGAAACGUCAUGGGUUAAUACCCUGUGAAACUGACGGUACCUGCAGAAUAAGCACCGGCUAACUACGUGCCAGCAGCCGCGGUAAUACGUAGGGUGCAAGCGUUAAUCGGAAUUACUGGGCGUAAAGCGUGCGCAGGCGGUUCGGAAAGAAAGAUGUGAAAUCCCAGAGCUUAACUUUGGAACUGCAUUUUUAACUACCGAGCUAGAGUGUGUCAG